AAAUACCUCUAACAACAAACAAACAAAAUGUCGGAAGUUGAUUUUGUCGGAGAUAUUCUUCACUAUGGUUUAAUAUUUGGUGCAAUAUUUCAAAUUAUAGCCAUUGCUGCGAUUUUUGUGUUACCUAAUCAAGGAUCGGAUAAGAAUUCGGCUGUAGGAGGCCUAUUGGAAGAAGAUGUAAACACAAUAAAUUCUU